rnacentral:rRNA from 1 species
UACGGAGGGUGCGAGCGUUGUCCGGAAUCAUUGGGCGUAAAGGGCGCGUAGGUGGCGGGACAAGCGUGCGGUGAAAGCUCGGGGCUCAACCCCGAGUCGGCCGUGCGGACUGUUUUGCUUGAGCACUGUAGAGGCAGGCGGAAUUCCGGGUGUAGCGGUGGAAUGCGUAGAGAUCCGGAAGAACACCGGUGGCGAAGGCGGCCUGCUGGGCAGUAGCUGACACUGAGGCGCGACAGCGUGGGGAGCAAACAGG